UACGGGAGGCAGCAGUGAGGAAUAUUGGUCAAUGGCCGAGAGGCUGAACCAGCCAAGUAGCGUGCAGGAUGACGGCCCUAUGGGUUGUAAACUGCUUUUAUGCGGGGAUAAAGUUCACUACGUGUAGUGUUUUGUAGGUACCGCAUGAAUAAGGACCGGCUAAUUCCGUGCCAGCAGCCGCGGUAAU
rnacentral:rRNA from 1 species